UGACCCGUAAUCCGGGUUGCGGACAGUGUCUGGUGGGUAGUUUGACUGGGGCGGUCUCCUCCUAAAGAGUAACGGAGGAGCACGAAGGUUGGCUAAUCCUGGUCGGACAUCAGGAGGUUAGUGCAAUGGCAUAAGCCAGCUUGACUGCGAGCGUGACGGCGCGAGCAGGUGCGAAAGCAGGUCAUAGUGAUCCGGUGGUUCUGAAUGGAAGGGCCAUCGCUCAACGGAUAAAAGGUACUCCGGGGAUAACAGGCUGAUACCGCCCAAGAGUUCAUAUCGACGGCGGUGUUUGGCACCUCGAUGUCGGCUCAUCACAUCCUGGGGCUGAAGUAGGUCCCAAGGGUAUGGCUGUUCGCCAUUUAAAGUGGUACGCGAGCUGGGUUUAGAACGUCGUGAGACAGUUCGGUCCCUAUCUGCCGUGGGCGCUGGAGAACUGAGGGGGGCUGCUCCUAGUACGAGAGGACCGGAGUGGACGCAUCACUGGUGUUCGGGUUGUCAUGCCAAUGGCACUGCCCGGUAGCUAAAUGCGGAAGAGAUAAGUGCUGAAAGCAUCUAAGCACGAAACUUGCCCCGAGAUGAGU
rnacentral:rRNA from 1 species